GGUCACUGCUAUCGGUGUUCGUCUAAGCCAUGCGAGUCAUAUGUUCUUUGGAACAUGGCGUACUGCUCAGUAACACGUGGAUAACCUGCCCUUGGGUCCGGCAUAACCCCGGGAAACUGGGGAUAAUACCGGAUAACGCAUAUAUGCUGGAAUUCUUUAUGCGUGAAACGGAUUCGUCUGCCCAAGGAUGGGUCUGCGGCCUAUCAGGUAGUAGUGGGUGUAAUGUACCUACUAGCCGACGACGGGUACGGGUUGUGAGAGCAAGAGCCCGGAGAUGGAUUCUGAGACAUGAAUCCAGGCCCUACGGGGCGCAGCAGGCGCGAAAACUUUACAAUGCGGGAAACCGUGAUAAGGGGACACCGAGUGCCAGCAUCAUAUGCUGGCUGUCCGGGUGUGUAAAAUACACCUGUUAGCAAGGGCCGGGCAAGACCGGUGCCAGCCGCCGCGGUAACACCGGCGGCCCGAGUGGUGAUCGUGAUUAUUGGGUCUAAAGGGUCCGUAGCCGGUUUGGUCAGUCCUCCGGGAAGUCUGACGGCUUAACCGUUAGGCUUUCGGGGGAUACUGCCAGACUUGGAACCGGGAGAGGUAAGAGGUACUACAGGGGUAGGAGUGAAAUCUUGUAAUCCCUGUGGGACCACCUGUGGCGAAGGCGUCUUACCAGAACGGGUUCGACGGUGAGGGACGAAAGCUGGGGGCACGAACCGGAUUAGAUACCCGGGUAGUCCCAGCCGUAA
rnacentral:rRNA from 1 species